rnacentral:rRNA from 1 species
CAUGCAAGUCGAACGGUAGCACAGAGAGCUUGCUCUUGGGUGACGAGUGGCGGACGGGUGAGUAAUGUCUGGGAAACUGCCCGAUGGAGGGGGAUAACUACUGGAAACGGUAGCUAAUACCGCAUAACGUCUUCGGACCAAAGUGGGGGACCUUCGGGCCUCACACCAUCGGAUGUGCCCAGAUGGGAUUAGCUAGUAGGUGGGGUAAUGGCUCACCUAGGCGACGAUCCCUAGCUGGUCUGAGAGGAUGACCAGCCACACUGGAACUGAGACACGGUCCAGACUCCUACGGGAGGCAGCAGUGGGGAAUAUUGCACAAUGGGCGCAAGCCUGAUGCAGCCAUGCCGCGUGUAUGAAGAAGGCCUUCGGGUUGUAAAGUACUUUCAGUGGGGAGGAAGGCGUUAAGGUUAAUAGCCUUGGCGAUUGACGUUACCCGCAGAAGAAGCACCGGCUAACUCCGUGCCAGCAGCCGCGGUAAUACGGAGGGUGCAAGCGUUAAUCGGAAUUACUGGGCGUAAAGCGCACGCAGGCGGUCUGUCAAGUCGGAUGUGAAAUCCCCGGGCUCAACCUGGGAACUGCAUUCGAAACUGGCAGGCUAGAGUCUUGUAGAGGGGGGUAGAAUUCCAGGUGUAGCGGUGAAAUGCGUAGAGAUCUGGAGGAAUACCGGUGGCGAAGGCGG